rnacentral:rRNA from 1 species
UGGGGAAUUUUCCGCAAUGGGCGAGAGCCUGACGGAGCAACGCCGCGUGAGGGAGGACGGCCUGUGGGUUGUAAACCUCUUUUCUCAGGGAAGAAGAACUGACGGUACCUGAGGAAUCAGCAUCGGCUAACUCCGUGCCAGCAGCCGCGGUAAGACGGAGGAUGCAAGCGUUAUCCGGAAUUAUUGGGCGUAAAGAGCGUGUAGGCGGCCUGGUAAGUCUGCCGUGAAAACCUGGGGCUCAACCCUGGGCGUGCGGUGGAUACUGCUAGGCUAGAGGAUGGUAGAGGCGAGUGGAAUUCCCGGUGUAGCGGUGAAAUGCGCAGAUAUCGGGAGGAACACCAGUAGCGAAGGCGGCUCGCUGGGCCAUUCCUGACGCUGAGACGCGAAAGCGUGGGGAGCAAACAGGAUUAGAUACCCCCGUAGUCC